GCUCCUACCGAUUGAGUGAUCCGGUGAAUUAUUCGGACUGACGCAGUGCUCAGCUUCUGGACGUUGCGUUGGAAAGUUUCUUGAACCUUAUCACUUAGAGGAAGGAGAAGUCGUAACAAGGUUUCCGUAGGUGAACCUGCAGAAGGAUCAAGAUCGGAAGAGGGGCGGGUAGGGGAAGAGGGUAAAUCUCGGUGGUCGGCGGAUCAUUAAAAAAAAACAAGAGGGAGAAGAAGAAGGAAGCGGGAAAGGCCUGCAGCUUAACUAUCGAACAGAGCU
rnacentral:misc_RNA from 1 species